rnacentral:rRNA from 1 species
AACGAACGCUGGCGGCAUGCCUAACACAUGCAAGUCGAACGAGACCUUCGGGUCUAGUGGCGCACGGGUGCGUAACGCGUGGGAACCUGCCCUUAGGUUCGGAAUAACUCCCCGAAAGGGGUGCUAAUACCGGAUAAUGUCUUCGGCCCAAAGAUUUAUCGCCCUUGGAUGGGCCCGCGUUGGAUUAGCUUGUUGGUAGGGUAAAAGCCUACCAAGGCGACGAUCCAUAGCUGGUCUGAGAGGAUGAUCAGCCACACUGGGACUGAGACACGGCCCAGACUCCUACGGGAGGCAGGAGUGGGGAAUAGUGGACAAUGGGCGAAAGCCUGAACCAGCAAGGCCGCGUGAGUGAUGAAGGCAUGAGGGUUGUAAAGCUCUUUUAACCGGGAUGAUAAUGACAGUACCGGGAGAAUAAGCUCCGGCUAACUCCGUG